ensembl:lncRNA
CUACUAUUCAGUGAGACCUGGACAGAGUGGAGAGUUGGGUAGAGAGGAAUCUGAUGAGAUUCACAAAGUAUAGAUUCCACCACCUGCGGAGGAAUAACAGAGAUCUCAUCUGGCUUCAAUUUACUGUGCGUAAUAACAAGAUCUUUAUAGCACUUCUGUAUGGGCUAUCUAGCUCAUAGAGGUAAUACCAGUACUUUCAGACAUGGUUGUAAUGAUCUGCAAAAAAAAAAAAAAAAAGAAAAGAAAAAGAAAACUAGAGAAAUUGGAUCACAAGACAUGCUACAAACCAGCAGCAGGAAAGGAGUACCUUUCACAGGCUGAUGACUGAGUGGGCAAAUUCAUGUGAAUUCUGCAGAAUUCCUGCAGCCCAGCCAGCCCACCACACUGCCAUCUCAAGUAUCUCUGCGUAAGGACAGGAUAUCAGUCCAAUGACUUAAGCUGGAUUUAGAUCAAUUCCACCUCCUUACUACAAACCCAUGAAACCACUACAAAAGGCUUUAAGACUUGUUGCUGGAUAUCCCGUUUCAAUGUUGUGCAGAAGGGCAAUUAUUUGGCGAAACAAUUGCCAAAGCAAACUGAUGAGAGCUACCACACAUCCACCGGUACUUGGAG